rnacentral:rRNA from 1 species
AUUGAACGCUGGCGGCAGGCCUAACACAUGCAAGUCGAGCGGAUGAAGGGAGCUUGCUCCUGGAUUCAGCGGCGGACGGGUGAGUAAUGCCUAGGAAUCUGCCUGGUAGUGGGGGAUAACGUCCGGAAACGGGCGCUAAUACCGCAUCCGUCCUGAGGGAGAAAGUGGGGGAUCUUCGGACCUCCCGCUAUCAGAUGAGCCUAGGUCGGAUUAGCUAGUUGGUGGGGUAAAGGCCUACCAAGGCGACGAUCCGUAACUGGUCUGAGAGGAUGAUCAGUCACACUGGAACUGAGACACGGUCCAGACUCCUACGGGAGGCAGCAGUGGGGAAUAUUGGACAAUGGGCGAAAGCCUGAUCCAGCCAUGCCACGUGUGUGAAGAAGGUCUUCGGAUUGUAAAGCACUUUAAGUUGGGAGGAAGGGCAGUAAGUUAAUACCUUGCUGUUUUGACGUUACCAACAGAAUAAGCACCGGCUAACUUCGUG